GGGGGUGCAAUGGUUUCGACGGGGAUAAUGAAAACAAGGUAAGCCAUCCGAAGCGGGAGUCUUCGUUAAAAGCCCACACGUUUAAAUAAUAAACGACAACAAUAAUUAUCAAUUAGCAGCGGCUUAAUGCCGUAGCCGUCGGCCUAAAGUUUCCUGCCGCUUUAGUAACCGGCGUCGACUUGGCGGGGCACUUUUGCGCGUAAGCUUUGCCGCGUAAAAAGAAACCAUGAAGCUACCCGAAUCCGGUGUUUGCCUUUUCAUGCCGGAUAAGGGGAAUUACUAAGAACAGGCUGUGAUGGAAGAAAGCUUUGUUGCCAUAUUUUCGGACAGGGGUUCAAUUCCCCUCAUCUCCAGUA
rnacentral:tmRNA from 1 species